UACGUAGGGUGCAAGCGUUGUCCGGAAUUAUUGGGCGUAAAGAGCUUGUAGGCGGUUUGUCGCGUCUGCUGUGAAAUUUCGGGGCUCAACCCCGAACUUGCAGUGGGUACGGGCAGACUAGGGUGUGGUAGGGGAGACUGGAAUUCCUGGUGUAGCGGUGAAAUGCGCAGAUAUCAGGAGGAACACCGAUUGCGAAGGCAGCUCGCUGGGACGUAACUGACGCUGAGACGCGAAAGCGUGGGGAGCAAACAGG
rnacentral:rRNA from 1 species